GGAGCUGGCAGCUGAACAUGCCCGUCCCACGUUUCGGGCCCCGACAUCCUGACCUCUUCAAUCCGACCCGCUGCCUAAAUCACAUUCAAACAUUGCGUCCUGCCGCUUGGAGCCCGCCGCCGGCGCCCAACCGUUCAGAUCCGGCUCAGCAAUACUCGCCAAUGCCUCCUGCCCACCUUUCCGUUCAUUGUCCACGUUCACCUGAAAGGCCGGCAUGGCGUCACUCCCAUUGCACUGUGACGCAGCUUUGGUGGGGACCGAGCUCAAGACAUUUGGGUUCCGGAGGUGAGACGGGUGACCCCUGGCCAUGAUCAAUACCCUUCAGAGAUUGUCUGCCUGGAGUCAGUGGUCACAUAACCAGGACUUGUGAUCUGCACCGGCUGCUCGUACGACCGUCCACCACCUGCCCCCAUGGCUUCACGUGACCCUGAUCGGGGGAUAAACAGAUGCUACACCUUGCCCAAGGGUGACCUGCAGGCUAGCGGAGGGAAGGAGCACCUCACACCUCCUCUGGUAGAGAUGUGUCUCCACACUGCCACCUAGGAAGACAUGGAAUGUAGAACAUCUUGCCCAAGGGUGACCUACAGUCCAGUAGAGCGAAAUCUCUCUCUCUCCCUCGCUACUGAAAGAGAGAGAGCCUGAGGGAUGUCAAAGUGUUGGGAUGAAGAGUGGCUUAUUUGAUAAUUUAAACCCCAGAUCAUGGUCUCUUGGGGCUAUGGGGGGAGGUGAGGGGAGGAUUGAUGCUUUUGUGUAGGAGGGGUGAGGGUAGGAUUUUGCAUUCUGACGUUUGCAGUCGUUCACUCUUUGGGUUUUACCUGUUUCUACAUCCUCUGAUACUACACUGAAUCACUGAAGGAGCACCCUAAUGCCUUCACACUUUGCCAUCCGCACUGUCACGGUACACAGAGCCAUAACCUUCUCUGAAGGAGAACAUUCAGCCCUUUAGGGUCAUGCUGACUCCCAACAGAGCAAAAGCUAUCAGUCCGUUUAGAACAGGGUGAGACCGUAGUGUAGAGGUUAGCAUAACGAUACCACAUAACCUGUGACCCUGGUUCUAUUCUUGCUGCUGUUUGUUUGUUCUCCUUGGGGGGGCGGGGAGGGGGAACAACCUUCUGAUAUCCAAUCUCUUCAAUUAUUUCACUUUCUCUACGCCUUCUGCUUGGUCGGUUCCUCUUGGUUACACUACAGAGACGGCCGGACCCUGCCACGGGCGGUUUGGAGCUCGGCCAAGUGAUCUGGUGCUCUGCCCCUGGAGAGGGCGCGGGCUGCCUCGUGCGGAGGGCCAGAGACGGUGCGGGGGGCCUUGAACCGAAAUGCCGAGGAAGACUGACGCAUCAAGGCGAUUGCGGAGUAGGUCUCUUCGUGGGAGUGCUGAGUUUGGGCGAUCAACCCCCUCGGUUCUGGCGGAAGGAUGCUUUGGGAUUUCUGAGAUUUAUGUGAUUGCUGGACUGUAGUUUAUCUCGCUCCCCUUCGGUUCCCUCUGGUUUUCGACUGGUGGGCUGAGGUUCCGGGUGGGCAAUGUGUUGGUUUUUGUAUGAGGGAGGGAGUUGGGGAUUUGGGGUCUGGUGUUGUUGUUGGUUUUUCUGUGAGGGGGAAUCUGCUGAUUUUUGGGGAGGGGGUGGCUUGGUGCUGUUGUCACUGUUUGGUUUUGCGAUGGAAGGGGUUGUUGGGGUUGCUGUUUUUCACGCGGGGCGACCGUUUCUUUGUGUGAGGGAGGGGGUGGACCACCACUCCCUUUCUUAGGUCUUGGAGGCCAUCAGAGGGAACGCAGGCAAAUCUCUCCAAAAUUGGAGAAGGUCCCCUUGGUGCUGUCUUGCGCUCCCUGAACUGUCUCUCCAGCCACACCUGCCAAAGAAAUUCCCCCAAACCCGUCACAAAUCAACCUCAAAGCUGGAAAAGUCCCUGCUUUUCCGGACAAGGUCAUAAAUCUCAAGAAUGCUGAAAGUUAACAGGCCCCACCUCCAGAGCGAACUGACAUGGGCCAGCUCUCGCAUUGGGAGCUGUAGCUGACGGGAGCUACAUGAUCAAAGCUCGAUGAUGUCAUCUAAUGGCAUUACCUAUGACCUCAAAGUUCAAAGCUCAAAGUAAACUUACUGCACUGGACAGCAAAUUCUUUUCAAAAAUGUUGCUUCCUCAGAAUUUCUUCUGUAGUUAUGAUAGACGGCUUGAAGCUGAACGCAAAUAUGAUUGCAGUCUAACGCACACAAAAUGCUGGAGGAACUCAGCAGGCCAGACAGCACCUAUGGUAAAGGAUUAAACAGUCGACGUAAACGGGGCCUUCAGCAGUCCUGGAGAGGAAGGGGGAAAGUGUCAGGCUACUUCUAUCAAGCAACAGAUUGGAGAAACAAGAAACUGACUUUUAUUGAAUAUGAUGUGUUUAGUCGCACAGCGGGUGCUGGUGCUUUGCAAUAGUUUAACUAAGCUAAGAAUGUACGGCUGGUGAUUUUCAUUUGUACUCAGUGUCUGAGGCUUCUCACUGAAGUGCCCAACAAUUCAUUUUAAGCCAACUAGAAUAUAAAAAGCAAGCAUAUAAUGCUGAGUCAUUGGACCGACCACACUUGGAGUAUUGUGAGUAGUCAAGGGCCCUUUAUCUAAGAAAGGAUGUGCUGACAUUGGAAGGGUAAUUUCUAAAAUGCUGUUGGAAUUGCUGAGCUCCUCAAGAUUUCCAGCCGACUGAACUACGUUGAGUCUGUAGUUCAUCAUCCAGCAGGACAGAUCUCCGCAAAUCCAGGGGAGUCGCACAGCCUUCACCACCAAAGCUGGCAGCCCACCCCUCUCUCUGUGUGAAAAACUUACCCCCGACAUCUCCUCUGUACUUACUUCCAAGCACCUUAAAACUGAGCCCUCUCGUGCUAGCCAUUUCAGCCCUGGGGAAAAGCCUCUGACUAUCCACAUGAUCAAUGCCUCUCAUCAUCUUAUACACCUCUAUCAGGUCACCUCUCAUCCUCCGUUGCUCCAAGGAGAAAAGGCCAAGUUCACUCAACCUAUUCUCAUAAGGCAUGCUCCCCAAUCCAGGCAACAUCCUUGUAAAUCUCCAUUGCACCCUUUCUAUGGCUUCCACAUCCUUCCUGUAGUGAGAAUUGAGCACGGUACUCCAAGUGGGGUCUAAAUAAGAUCUUAUAUAGCAGCAACAUUACCUCAAGGCUCUUGAACUCAAUAGAGUAGUGGGUGCGGGGAAUGCACUGCCAGUGAAGGUGGUGAAGACAGAUACAACAGGGUCUUUUAAGAGACUCUUAGAUAGGUUCAUGGAGCUUAGAAAGGUAGACAUGGUAGGGAAAUUCCAGGCAGCUUCUAGAGUAGGUUACAUAGUCGGCACAACAUUCUAUGUUCUAUGCAAUAGCGGGGAGGGGGCAAAUUUGUUUCCCAGAAUAUCUCCCAGAAGGAGAUAUUCCCCACUCUGGUCUUACUUUUUCUCACCUGCUUAUCACCUUUCCCUGGGUCCCCCUCCUCCUUCCCUUUCUCCUAUGGUCCGCUCUCCUCUCCGAUCAGAUUCCUUCUUCUCCAGCCCUUGACCUUUCCCACUCACCUGGCUUCACCCCUCACCUUCCAGCUAUCCUCCUUCCCCUCCCUGCUACCUUCUUAGUCUGUCUUCUCCACUUCCUUCUCAGUCCUGAAGCAGCUCCUCAGACUGAAACUGCAACUAUCUAUUCAACUCCGUGGACGCUGCCUGACCUACUGAGUUCUUCCAGCAUCUUGUGUGUGUGUAUUGCUUAGGAAAUUAACUCAUUUGCAAUUCUCUGAAACCUGGAUAAGAAGUAGAAGGAAGUUUGCUGAUGACACAAAGGUUGGAGGUGUUGUGGAUAGUCUGGAGGAUUGUCAGAGGUUACAGCAGGACAUCAAUAAGAUGCAGGACUGGGCUGAGCAGUGGCAGAUGGACCUCAACUCAGGUGAGUGUGAAGUGUUUCAUUUUGGUAGGUCCAAUUUGAAGACAGAAUGUCUUAAUGGUAAGACUCUUGGCAGUGUGGAGGAACUGAGAGAUCUUGGGGUCCGGGUCCAUAGGACACACAAAGCUGCUGUGCAGGUUGACAGUAUUGUUAAGAAGGUGUCUGGUGUGUUGGCAUUCAUCAACCGUGGGAGUGAGGUAAAGAGCCGAGAGGUAAUGUUACAGCUAUAUAGGACUCUGGUCAGACCCCACUUGGAGAACUGUGUUCAAUUCUGGUCACCUCACUACAGGAAGAAUGUGGAUAAUAUAGAGAGAGUGCAGAGGAGAUUUACAAGGGUGUUGCCUGGAUUGGGGAGCAUGGCUUAUGAGAACAGGUUGAGUGAACUCAGCCUUUUCUCCUUGGAGCGACGGAGGAUGAGAGGUGACCUGAUCGAGGUGUAUAAGAUGAUCAGGGGGCAUUGAUCGUGUGGAUAGUCAGAGGGGGCAUGAAAAGGCGCUUGGGAAUAGGUACCAAGGGAAUGUCAGGGGAAAGUUUUUCACACAGAGAGUGGUGGGUGCAUGGAAUGCACUGUUAGUGACGGUGGUGGAGGCGGAUACGAUCGGGUCUUUUAAGAGACUUCUGGAUAAGUACAUGGAGCUUAGAGACUUGGAGAGCUAUGCAGUAGGGAAAUCUGAGGCAGUUUCUACAGUAGGUUACAUGGUCAGCACAACAUUGUGGGCCGAAGGGCCUGUAAUGUGCUGUAGAUUUCUAUGUUCUAUUAACUCAAUUUGAAAAUAAUUCUCUCCCAAAUUCUGUACGGAUCUCAGAGGCAGAAAUUACCGCCCAGUAAGUUAGCUGUGCCCGUUUCGCUGAGUGAUUAACAGCCCAAAGUUUGGGUGGUGUUGGAGAGUUUGUUAACAAGCUAAAACAUGGCUUGCAAUGCUCGUGUUUGUGUGUACAGUCACAUCACUGGCAUCCAAGUGAGAGCUAUGUCUCAAUUGAAUCAAGGUGAGUUCAUUCCAAAUUCAUAAACUCCUUUGAAGACAUGAUAUUUCAAAGGAAGGGAGGGAAACAGCAGAGUGUGAGAUGGGAGAUCUUCUAGAUGCUGGAAAUCGAGAGCAACACACAUAAAACAUGGAGGAACUCAGCAGGGCAGGCAGCAUCCAUGGAGAUUUUAGACACAGAUGGCGGAAACGCUGAGUAAAGUGCUGGAAGAACUCAGCAGGUCAGGCGACAUCCGUGGAGGGGAGCGAACGGUUGGUGUUUUUGGGCCGAGGCCCUUCUUCAGGACUGGAAAGGAAGAGGGCAGAGGCCAGAGUAAAAGGUAUGGGGAGAGGGAGGAGUACAAGCUGGCAGGCGAUUGGUGAGUCCAGUUAAGAGGGAGAAGGGGGAUUGAUCUUUCUACUUCAGCCCUUUGCCUCUUCCACCUCCAAACUCACUGCAUCAAUCCCUUUCAUCCCCCUUCCCCCCCCCCACCCCAUCACCCGGUCUCACCUAUCACUUGCCAGCUUAUCCCCCUCCUCCUCUUCCUCUCCACCUUCUCAUUCUGGCUUCUACCCCCUUCCUUGUGAGUCCUGAUGAAGGGUCUUGGUCCGAACCAUCAUUUCCCACCGUAGAUACUGCUUGACCUGCAGAGGUCCUCCAACACUUUGAGUGUGUUUCAGUAGAGAGAAAUGUUAAGUGGCACAUGUGGAGCUGGAAAUAUUGGCGUGUUCCACAGCCGAGAUUCAAAUGCAGAGUUCCCGGUCGACAAUUUCAGGUCCUUGAGCUCCCCUCUUUCAGGAGAAAUCACUCAGCUUUCAACUGAUUCCACAAUGUAUGGACUCCCUUCCAAGAACUCUACAACUCAUGUUCGCAGCAUUUGAGGACCUCCGUUGGUCUGGUUUGACCAUGGACGUAUCCUUCCAGCUGUCUACGUGAUAUGCAAGCCACGUUUGUAUGGUAUGGAGAGCGAGCUAUUGCCCACGAAGCAGGCUCCCCCUCUCCACCGAGCUGAUGGUUCCUAAGGAAAGACAGAGACCGGCACAGUUUGGCACCAGCGGUGUCGCAUGAGUUGCCAGUCAGUGUUGAACUCAACAUAGUACUGCCUUAGGGACUCCAGCUCCGGAUUUUCCCUCGGGGUUUACUCUCAAAGUCCUCCCCAUGAGUGGGUGUAGCUGCAAGGCAGCGGAGGCUUAAGAUCAGAGUUUUCUUUCCCCAGAAACAGUUCCACCCUAAGCCACAAGUGAAGGCCAGGAGCUGGACUUGGUUGUCAGAGGCCUUUUGAGACACACUCCACCGGGGCCUCAGCUGGAGUAUUGUAAGCAGUUCUGAGCCUCUUAUCUAAGCAGGGAUGUGCUGACACUGGAGAGGGUUCAAAGGAGGAUCACGAAAACGAUUCCAGGAUUGAAAGGCUCAUCAUAUGAGGAGUGUUUGAUGGCUCUGGGCCUGUACUCUCUGGAAUUCAGAAGAAUUGAAACCUAUUGAAUGUUGAAAGGCCUCAAUAGAGUGGAUAUGGAGAGAAUGUUUCCUGUGGUGGGGAGUCUAAGACCAGAGGACACAGCCUCAGAAUAGAGGGAUGUCCAUUUAGAACGGAGAUGAGGAGGAAUUUCUUUAGCCAGAGAGUGGUGAACUUGUGGAAUUUGUUGCUACAGGCGGCUGUGGAGGCCGGGUCGUUGGGUGUAUUUAAGGUAGAGGUUGAUAGAUUCAUGAUUGGUCAGGGCAUGAAGGGAUACAGGGAGAAGGCAGGAGCUGAGAGGGAAAUGGAUCGGCCAUGAUGAAAUGGUGGAGCAGACUCAAUUGGCCAAUUGGCCUAAUUCUGCUCCCGUAUCUUACGGUCUUUUGCGUGCUUUGCUUUGGAUUUCCAGCAUCUGCAGUUUAUUUCAAUCCUGUGCUGUAGCCUCCACCACCAGACGAUGAUGUAGUCAGUUAAAAUGCUCUCCACAGUACACCUGUAGUCAUUUGCAAGUGUCUUUGGUGACAUAUCAGCUCUCCUCACACUCCUGAUGAAAUUUAGCCUUCUUUGUAAGUGCAUUAAUAUGCCAGGCCCAGGACAGAUCGUCAGAGAUGCUGAUGCUCAGGAACUUGAAAUUGCUCACCAACUCUGUCUCUGAUCCCUAUAUAAGGACUGUGUGUUCCCUCAUCUUACCCCUUCUGAAGUUCACAAUCUAUUCUCUAGUCCUACUGACAUUGAGUUCAAGGUUGUUGCUGUGACACCACUCAAUCAGCUGAUCCAUCUUGCUCCUGUAUGUCUCAUCACCAUCUGAAAUUAUGCCAGCAAUAGCUGUGACCAAAUAAACUCCUAACCCAUACGUUUUUGGAUUGUAGUAGGAAACUGGAGUACCUGAAGGAACCCGUGUGGUCAUGGGGAGAAUGUACAAACUCCUUAGACAGGGGCAGGAAAUGGACCUUUUAGGGAGUACUCUGAAGAUGGGCCAUAUAGUAAACACCACCUUCAGCAACCAACAUUCAGAUUAAAUUUAAAAUGCAACUCGGAACCAGGCACUUAAUUGAUAUGUCUGCAUAUGCAUGAAAGCAAUCGACAGUCAAUUACAUGAAUGGAGUGCACUCAUUUUGGGUGUAUUGGUGGUGGCAAUAUCCAGGAAUUUGCAAUUCAAAAAAGGCAUUAUGAGGAUAGAAAUUGUCAUGUUCCCUUUGUGCUUUCACAUACAAAAUGCAUUAUGUCGGGCAGUAGCAGUCUCUCAGCAUCUAUGGACAGGAGUAAAUAUUCAACAUUUCGGGCCAGGACCCUUCAUCAGAUUGGAGGAAAAAUCUGGGAAGUCAGAGUAAGGUGGAGGGGAGGGGAGGAAGUACGAGGUGGUAGGAGAUAGGUGAAACCAGGAGUGGGUCAAUUAAUGAGUUUGGAAGCUGAUUGGUGCAAGAGAUAAAGGGCUGGAGAACGGGAAUCUGAUAGGAAAGGCAGGAGAUCAUGGAAGAAUGAGAAUGGGGAAGAGGAAGGUGAUGGGCAGGUAGGCAGAUAAGGUGAGAGAGGGAGAAGGGAUUGGAGAAUGGUGAAGGGGGUGGUGCAAUUUCUGGAAGUUCGAGGGAUCAACUUUCAUGCCAUCAGGUUAACGAAUACAAGGUGCCAAUCCUUCAGAUGAGUGAGGUCUCAUCGUGGCAGUAGAAGGCACAGAUAGACAAGUCAGGAUGGGCAAGGGAAGUAAAAUUGACAAGCGUGGCCACCAGGAGAUCCGCUUUUUCUGGCAGGCGCUUGGCGAAGCGGUCUCCCAGUUCUACCCUCCUCCUACAAAUCCGACCUCAAGGCCCCAGCAACAUUCUCAAGAAUAAGGUUUCUUCAGAGACAGGAAAAGCAGACAAGAUGCACUUCGUUUGAAAAAUACAGACAUUUUAUUUUUUUUUCCACUUCAUGCAGCAACAGUCGAGUCCAGCUGUUUACAAAGCAGUGCCCCCACCCUCGAGGGUGGGGGGGGGGUCAUCCUCGCCUGCUCCACAACCCCGGUGUAAAUUAUUUCAUAAGCACAACCUCCAAACUGCUCCUGCGCCUUUGACUUAACUUUCACACCGGUAAUACUAUCCGCGUGGCUUGUUUCGCCUGCGUAUACACUUAUACAUUUGAACUAUAAUAUAAACUUCUGCAAAAAAGAAGCAUUUUUUAAUAUUUCACACAUCUCCCAUGUGUCAAUGGAAGCACUUCUAACCCUUUCCCCACUCCCACAUAAUUUCCCCUCUCAUCCCAGAUUCCCCACCUACUCCCAGUGUGAAAAUGGUAGGUAAACCAAGAGGAGCUGGCUCUCAUUUGGUUAUAGUCCGUCUUUAUCGACAACAAAAGAUUUUACUGACUGAAAUUUUUGAUCAAGAAAAAUCAAAGAAUUUUACCUAUGCACCUUUAAAAAAAAAUCGCCCAUAAUUGUUCUAUCAAUUUAUAACUCAUCAGAAUAACUGAUGGCAAGGUUGAGAAAGGCAUUUUUAUUGGUCACCAAACAGGUCAUCAAUGACAGGCAGUUCAAAGAACUUCUAGUGGGACAGGAGAAAAUCACACAGAAGGCAUUCAAGGAUGUUGCUGAAAAUUUUCUUGGCAACUACAGAGCACCAAACUACGUGCAGUUGGUUGACAACGUGCUUCUAGCAUACAAAACCAUGAAGUGCAAUCUGUCACUAAAGAUUUAUUUUCUGCUUUCCCAUUUAGACUUCUUCCCUGCAAACCUUGGCACUGUCGGUGACGAGAAGGUGAAAGGUUUCACGACAUUGUGGUGAUGGAGAAAUGAUAUCAGGGUAACUGGAAUCAGUCAUCGCUGGCUGAUUAUCGUCAGACACUUAAGUGAGAAGCCUCGAACACUGAGAACUAACUAACGAAAGUCACCAACUUAGCUUAGUUGAACUAUUGUAAAGCUUCAGCACCAUUACACAAUUAAAUGCAUUAUAUUCUAUAAACGUUAAUCUCUUGUUUCUCCAAAUUCCUACGCGAUACAAGUAGUCUGAAGUUAUAUUUGUGUUCAUCUUCAAGCGGUCUAUCGUAAACAAAUUAAAAAAAAAAAUCUGAGAUGCAACACUUCCAGA